AGUGAACGCUGGCGGUAGGCCUAACACAUGCAAGUCGAACGGCAGCACAGUAAGAGCUUGCUCUUACGGGUGGCGAGUGGCGGACGGGUGAGGAAUACAUCGGAAUCUACUUUUUCGUGGGGGAUAACGUAGGGAAACUUACGCUAUUACCGCAUACGACCUACGGGUGAAAGCAGGGGAUCUUCGGACCUUGCGCGAUUGGAUGAGCCGAUGUCGGAUUAGCUAGUUGGCGGGGUAAAGGCCCACCAAGGCGACGAUCCGUAGCUGGUCUGAGAGGAUGAUCAGCCACACUGGAACUGAGACACGGUCCAGACUCCUACGGGAGGCAGCAGUGGGGAAUAUUGGACAAUGGGCGCAAGCCUGAUCCAGCCAUACCGCGUGGGUGAAGAAGGCCUUCGGGUUGUAAAGCCCUUUUGUUGGGAAAGAAAAGCAGCAGGUUAAUACCCCGCUGUUCUGACGGUACCCAAAGAAUAAGCACCGGCUAACUUCGUG
rnacentral:rRNA from 1 species